rnacentral:rRNA from 1 species
UACAGAGGUCUCAAGCGUUGUUCGGAUUCAUUGGGCGUUAAAGGGUGCGUAGGCGGCGCGGUAAGUCGGGUGUGAAAUCUCGGAGCUUAACUCCGAAACUGCAUUCGAUACUGCCGUGCUUGAGGACUGGAGAGGAGACUGGAAUUUACGGUGUAGCGGUGAAAUGCGUAGAUAUCGUAAGGAAGACCAGUGGCGAAGGCGGGUCUCUGGACAGUUCCUGACGCUGAGGCACGAAGGUCAGGGGGAGCAAAACAGG